GAAUAUUGGACAAUGGGCGAAAGCCUGAUCCAGCCAUGCCGCGUGUGUGAAGAAGGUCUUCGGAUUGUAAAGCCCUUUAAGUUGGGAGGAAGGGCAGUAAGUUAAUACCUUGCUGUUUUGACGUUACCGCCAGCAUACGCACCGGCUAACUCUUUGCCAGCCGCCGAGGUAAUACAGAGGGUGCAAGCGUUAAUCGGAAUUACUGGGCGUAAAGCGCGCGUAGGUGGUUUGUUAAGUUGGAUGUGAAAGCCCCGGGCUCAACCUGGGAACUGCAUCCAAAACUGGCAAGCUAGAGUACGGUAGAGGGUGGUGGAAUUUCCUGUGUAGCGGUGAAAUGCGUAGAUAUAGGAAGGAACACCAGUGGCGAAGGCGACCACCUGGACUGAUACUGACACUGAGGUGCGAAAGCGUGGGGAGCAAACAGG
rnacentral:rRNA from 1 species